GGGUGGGUGGCUGGUGGCGAGCGUGGUGGGGUGCGGUGCGGCUGAGCUCCGCUGUUCGGCACCUCCAGCUGCUCCCCUCCAACCACUACGACUCCUAACAUCGUAUUCGACCCUUCUCCGACCUCCGGGCAAACAACUUUUUGGUUGGACAGAUACCUCCCUUUCUACUUCCCCGUCGAACCAUUGAUUGAUCAUAAUUGAUCCUUUCUUAGCUUCAUGCCGCUGUUGCUGAUCCAAUCGAUGUGAGGGAGCCGGUUCCUCUUCGAGCAGUGGAGAGUUUUCAUGCUCAAUGAGAGUUGUCGCAAAUAGAAUCAAGCGUACUCUCUUCAAACUCAACGAGCUCACUGACAUCUUCACACUCAUGGACUCUGGUGCAUCCAGGAUAGAAGACCGAUAUGCUUCAGUACCGACAUUGAUCUACAAGUAAUUAGUUCUUUCAGCAACAAAUGCAAAUGCUUACAUGGUAAAACAUGGACAUGCAUUGGACCAUUCUAGAGAUGUCUCAUUGCUUCAGUUUUCUUUCUAGUUCUUUCUUGGUUGGGAUUGACACCGAGCACUACCCAGAAAGUUUCCUAAUAUUAUCGUACUAACUGGCCUUAUAAGUUGAGAACGUCAAGGUGUACUGUAUCUUGU